CCAACUUUUUUUUUGUAAUUAAUUGUCUUGAAGAUAUUUGUUGGGGGCUUAGUAAUAGGAGCAUUAUACUAGGUAGAAGAUGUAAGUGGUGAAGAGUAACUGUAAAAAAAUAACGUUUGAGGGAACCUUAUUGUAAAUAAAUCUUUGAUGGCAUCUUUCAUUCCUACACUGAAUUCCUAGGACUAUGAAAACAUAACUUCAAAAGACAUUCUUCAAGCUUCAAAGGCAAACUUAAACUAAAAUUCUAAACUGUAAAAUAUUUACUUUUUGGAAAAGUACCAACAAGAGAAUUAAUAUUUAUUUUGUGCAAAGUGUGAACUUACCCAGAAGAUGCUUUCUUGUUAGUUACUGUGAAUCACCAAGGGUUUUUGAAGUGUAUUGACUUUGGCUUUGACUUCUAAUUCUUUCCAGGAUUUGCUGGUUUUCUCAGUAGUGUGAGGUUGUUUGAAGUCUAUGCAAAUUGCCCUGCUUCCUCUUUUGACAGUUAAAAUGUUAACUACAGUAUUUUAUUUCCAGCUUUCUUCUUGUAAACAUAUGGCCUUCCUACAUUUGUUUCAUUUAUCUCCUGCCUGCACCACAUCUUUAAAUUCUCAAAACUACUUACUUGGAUAAAUGCACGACUCUGGUCAGACUCAGAUCUCUAGCUCCUCAUGCCCCCAUCCGCACAGCUGCUGUGUCCGGUGAAACACUGAGCAGCUUCACUCCAAGUUCACUGCAUUUGUUCCCCUGGAGGCCCUCAGUGAGCCCUACUGUCACACCACACGUGUGCAGUGUGGCCGCUCUCGUCUGUUCUCUCCUGCACCAGUGGACUUCAAGAAGAAAACAGUUUACAGAAAUCGGUGAGCAGGUCUUCAACAGUUUAUGAACUCUUUCUUAAAAAUUUUCCACAUGAGAAUGCAUUGGGAAUUGCAUUCACAUCCCUAACUUGUUUCUCUCACUGUAUGUAAAAAGGCAGCUUGUCUGCCACGUCCCAUCUCAGAGGUGAGCUCUUGAGGUAACUACCUCCUGCGCUAAACCAAAAGGCAGCUCCUUUGUGCAAUCGAUCAAGAUACGCCAAUGUUUAAACUUCCUGUCUCCUCUCUGUUCUAAGUAUAUUUCUCUUAAAGUGAAACUAGCAUUAGACAGUCGGUGCUUCAACUCACACUGAAAUGCUUGCAGUUCUGAUAUUAUAGCGUGGGUUGGUGGAACUGAUGACAAUUUUUGUUGGAUGCCUUUGUCUCCUUCAUCUAUAGGUUUUUGUCAGGAACCCAGCGUUCUUUGGGGGAGAGUCCAAAAGAGCAGAAGAUUGGUGAGAAAUAUUGGUGAAGAUAUUGAUUGGUAGUGCAUUGAAUAUUGGUGAGGAAAACAGCUUUUCAAAUAUGUUUAAACAUUAGCAAAUCUUAGCUAUUCUCAGUCACCUUUAGGGCCAUGUUAUUAGCUAGAAGGAAGAAAAUUUUGACCGGCAAAUCUCUUUAAGUUAAUAACACUGAUUCUUUCAGUGUACCUUGGAUGAGUUCUAGGACUACCAGUUUUUAAAAGAUACAUUAAAUAUCUAGGCUAGAGAUAAAACUUUUAUGUGGUCUCUCUCAGAUUAAGUAUAUAUUAUUAAAC
ensembl:lincRNA